UACGUAGGGGGCAAGCGUUGUCCGGAUUUAUUGGGCGUAAAGAGCGUGUAGGCGGCCUGACAGGUCUGCUGUGAAAACUCGAGGCUCAACCUCGAGAUGUCGGCGGAAACCGUCUGGCUAGAGUCCGGAAGAGGAGAGUGGAAUUCCUGGUGUAGCGGUGAAAUGCGCAGAUAUCAGGAAGAACACCUAUGGCGAAGGCGGGUCUCUGGGCAAUAACUGACGCUGAGGAGCGAAAGCGUGGGGAGCGAACAGG
rnacentral:rRNA from 1 species